rnacentral:rRNA from 1 species
AUUGACAAAACUCCCCACAAACCAUCGCGAAUCUUACCCGUACGGUUGCCUCGGCGCUGGCGGUCCGGAAAGGCCCUCGGGUCCUCCCGGAUCCUCGGGUCUCCCGCUCGCGGGAGGCUGCCCGCCGGAGUGCCGAAACUAAACUCUUGAUAUUUUAUGUCUCUCUGAGUAAACUUUUAAAUAAGUCAAAACUUUCAACAACGGAUCUCUUGGUUCUGGCAUCGAUGAAGAACGCAGCGAAAUGCGAUAAGUAAUGUGAAUUGCAGAAUUCAGUGAAUCAUCGAAUCUUUGAACGCACAUUGCGCUCGCCAGUAUUCUGGCGAGCAUGCCUGUUCGAGCGUCAUUUCAACCAUCAAGCUCUGCUUGCGUUGGGGAUCCGCGGCUGCCCGCGGUCCCUCAAAAUCAGUGGCGGGCUCGCUAGUCACACCGAGCGUAGUAACUCUACAUCGCUAUGGUCGUGCGGCGGGUUCUUGCCGUAAAACCCCCCAUUUCUAAGGUUGACCUCGGAUCAGGUAGGAAUACCCGCUGAACUUAAGCAUAUCAAUAAGCGGAGGAA